AACUUUUAACAAUGUAUCACGUGGCUCUCACAUCGAUUAAGAACGCAGCGAAAUGCGAUACGUAAUGUGAAUUGCAGAAUUCAGUGAACCAUCGAAUCUUUGAACGCACCUUGCGCCCCUUGGUAUUCCGAGGGGUGCACCCGUUUGAGUGUCGUGAACACCCUCAACCUUCUUGGUUUAUCGACCGGGAAGGAUUGGACUUUGGAGGUUUUUGUUGCUGGCCUCGUUUGAAGCCAGCUCCUCCUAAAUGAAUUAGUGGGGUCCGCCGUGCCGAUCCUCGACGUGAUAAGUACGCUUCUACGUCUUGGGGUUUCGCACCGUUCUCGCUUCCAACUUCGAGUUGUGACUCGACCUUAUAAACCUUGACCUCAAAUCGGGUGAGACUACCCGCUGAACUUAAGCAUAUCAAUAAGCGGAGGCU
rnacentral:misc_RNA from 1 species